rnacentral:rRNA from 1 species
UACAGGGGGGGCAAGCGUUGUUCGGAAUUACUGGGCGUAAAGGGCGCGUAGGCGGUGUGUCAAGUCAGGCGUGAAAGCCCCGGGCUCAACCUGGGAACCGCGCUUGAGACUGGCACGCUAGAGUUCGGGAGAGGAUGGUGGAAUUCCCAGUGUAGAGGUGAAAUUCGUAGAUAUUGGGAAGAACACCGAUGGCGAAGGCAGCCAUCUGGACCGACACUGACGCUGAGGCGCGAAAGCGUGGGGAGCAAACAGG